CCUACGGGUGGCAGCAGUGAGGAAUAUUGGUCAAUGAGCGCUAGCCUGAACCAGCCAAGCCGCGUGAAGGAUGACUGCCCUAUGGGUUGUAAACUUCUUUUAUAUGGGAAUAAAGUGCAGUAUGUAUACUGCUUUGCAUGUACCUUAUGAAUAAGGAUCGGCUAACUCCGUGCCAGCAGCCGCGGUAAUACGGAGGAUCCGAGCGUUAUCCGGAUUUAUUGGGUUUAAAGGGAGCGUAGGCGGGUUGUUAAGUCAGUGGUGAAAGUUUGCGGUUCAACCGUAAGAUUGCAGUUGAUACUGGCAGCCUUGAGAGCAGUAGAGGUAGGCGGAAUUCGUGGUGUAGCGGUGAAAUGCUUAGAUAUAACGAAGAACUCCGAUUGCGAAGGCAGCCUGCUGGACUGUAACUGACGCUGAGGCUCGAAAGUGUGGGUAUCAAACAGGAUUAGAUACCCUUGUAGUC
rnacentral:rRNA from 1 species